GUAAGUGUCUUUACUAUUUCGAUUAUUUAUUCUUAACAGUGACCAGGUAUUUAUUUGCAGCAAAUUCAUGGCUGAUCUUGUUUGAAACUGAAAUACUGGGUUGGGAGUGUCUCGAAUCCUGAGUUUCUUAUACUUGUGAUGACAUUUGGAACUGCCCAAUAACAAUCGGCUACUACAAAUGAGCAUAGUUGUCUUCACAUGGCUUGUGACUUUCUUGGUUCCUGGUGAGACAGAAGGAUCAACCCUUCUUGACCGACAAAGAGGUCCCCCGCGUGAACCCAGGUGAGACCUUAUCUUGUUGUUUUCUUAUAGAGAUAAAAGCCCUCAUAGGAAUUGGAUUCAUUUUUCUAAAGAGGAAGUAGGUUCAGGAUUAAGACACAGAUGUGAAAGACAGCAGGAAACACUGAUAGAGUUUGGAAAUCAGGAGUUUAUUUCAUGGUUCGAAGGAGCAUGGAAACACAAAUUUGUUUAAUGGGCCAUACAAAACACAAGAACUAACAUGGCUUUCAUGGCUUGGGUUUAGAAAGUGUAUACUCAGAGCAUGACUCGAAAUUUGUACUCUUUAUAAUUUUUCAUGUGAUUCAUAGGAUGUCUUUCUUUAGUUGGCAUUUAACUUGGGAAUGAAAAUAAUAUUUGAAGACAUGGGAUCCAAAAAUGUAAUGGAUGCUAUAUUUUCACUAUAAUGUUUUGCUAGAGUUGAUAAUUUGA